GACGAACGCUGGCGGCGUGCCUAAUACAUGCAAGUUGAGCGCUGAAGGUUGGUACUUGUACCGACUGGAUGAGCAGCGAACGGGUGAGUAACGCGUGGGGAAUCUGCCUUUGAGCGGGGGACAACAUUUGGAAACGAAUGCUAAUACCGCAUAAAAACUUUAAACACAAGUUUUAAGUUUGAAAGAUGCAAUUGCAUCACUCAAAGAUGAUCCCGCGUUGUAUUAGCUAGUUGGUGAGGUAAAGGCUCACCAAGGCGAUGAUACAUAGCCGACCUGAGAGGGUGAUCGGCCACAUUGGGACUGAGACACGGCCCAAACUCCUACGGGAGGCAGCAGUAGGGAAUCUUCGGAAAUGGACGAAAGUCUGACCGAGCAACGCCGCGGGAGUGAAGAAGGUUUUCGGAUCGUAAAACUCGGUUGGUAGAGAAGAACGUUGGUGAGAGUGGAAAGCUCAUCAAGUGACGGUAACUACCCAGAAAGGGACGGCUAACUACGUG
rnacentral:rRNA from 1 species